rfam:Myotis davidii contig47295, whole genome shotgun sequence.
AGGCCCGGAGAGAGAAGCAGGGUCUGAUCUGCAGCCUCUGUGGCAGCUGCUGAUCAGCCCUUGCCUUUCUCUCUCUCCUGG